AUUGAACGCUGGCGGCAGGCCUACCCCUGCCAGUCGAGCGAGCGGCGGACGGGUGAGUAAUGUCUGGGAAACUGCCUGCUGGAGGGGGAUAACUACUGGAAACGGUAGCUAAUACCGCAUCCCAUCAGAUGUUCCCAGAUGGGAUUAGCUAGUAGGUGGGGUAACGGCUCACCUAGGCGACGAUCCCUAGCUGGUCUGAGAGGAUGACCAGCCACACUGGAACGGAGACACGGUCCAGACUCCUACGGGAGGCAGCAGUGGGGAAUAUUGCACAAUGGGCGCAAGCCUGAUGCAGCCAUGCCGCGUGUGUGAAGAAGGCCUUCGGGUUGUAAAGCACUUUCAGCGGGGAGGCGUUACCCGCAGAAGAAGCACCGGCUAACUCCGUGCCAGCAGCCGCGGUAAUAC
rnacentral:rRNA from 1 species